GUUUUAAAAUCCAGAAUUUAUUCACUACUAAUUGUUACUUGACACUAAAAGAGAAAAAAAGCGAAAAUAAUAUACAAAUCUGCACAAAAUGAAGUUUAAAUUGACCCCUUCAUAAAGGAAUAAAUUAAACCACACACUAAGGAUUACAUUUUUUAAACUGAACUACAUCAAGUAAGUGGAAUAGUUAAACAAUGACAAAACAACAAUGUAUGGAUCUGUAGGAGAGACUGAAUAACAUUCAUGGCUUUAAAGUCAUU